AACGAACGCUGGCGGCGUGCCUAACACAUGCAAGUCGAGCGCGAAUGGAGCAAUCCUAGUAGAGCGGCGCACGGGUGCGUAACACGUGGGUAAUCUGCCUCAAAGCCCGGGAUAACCUGCCGAAAGGCAAGCUAAUACCGGAUAAGCCUACGGACUCUUCGGGGGUCUGAAGGAAAGGUGGCCUCUGUAUACAAGCUAUCACUUUGAGAUGAGCCCGCGGCCCAUCAGCUCGUUGGCGGGGUAACGGCCACCAAGGCAACGACGGGUAGCUGGUCUGAGAGGACGAUCAGCCACACU
rnacentral:rRNA from 1 species